ensembl:lincRNA
CGGCGCGCGGCCGCCACUGGGUCCAGUGGGGAGGGACUCAGCUGUUCCCCGCGGUAAGUCGGCCGCCUGCUAGGGCUCGGGAAGAACCCGGACCCCAAGACCUGCCCGACUAGGUAGCUACAGAUCAGAUAGUACUGCUGAGAUCGGGAACCAGUGAUUGGAGGACGAUCAUCUUCCUCCACGCAGGAACUUUGAGGUCGCUUCCCAAGCCUGACGGAAAAAGACGAUGGCAUGCCGAUUUUCCAGAGGAUGUUACCCUGGUGUGGGGGACCCUAGAGGGUGCCGUGUAUCACAGAAAGCCUCUGCACUGCCGGCCCGUAGAGAAGCGACUGAAAAUGCUUGUGCAGCGAUCUCAAUGGCCAGGGCUCCCCAAGCAGCAGUCUGCCUCAAUAAUAUCCAUCGGAAGCUCACGGCCACCACUCCGAGCACCCGCUGUAACUGCAGAGGCCAAAGGGAGCCCAGCUGCCUUCCAGGGGACAGGAAGUUUCCUCCCGAAGUCAGGGACAGUCCUCCUCCGCCCUGCUUCUCCACAUCCCCAGCGCAUUCCCAGGAGGAAUUCCGCGGUGCCAGCUCCCCAGGAUGGAAGUCAUUGUACAUUGCACACGGGUACUGUUAAAAUUAAAAAUGAAUGCAGAAUCAUUGUUAAAACUACAACUUGAGACACCCAUUUGCAAUCUAUGGCUUUUACCUUUGGAAUGAGAAUCACACUUUCAUACAGCUGAAGCACACAUCAGCAGUGGCCCCUGUCUUCUCGGCACUGUCCCCUGCCCUCUUUUUAUUCCAGAGCGCCUCUUCUACCUUCUCCCAGAAAUCGGAUUCCCGCUGUGAUAUUCUCCAUCUUGUGAUUCUGAAGAUUCUUUUUCUUUUUUCCUUAUCAUUAUAAUGGGUCCCUAAAAGAAAAGGUAUAAAUAUUUAUGGUCCAUUCAUCAGCUCGAACCAGAAACAUCAGUAAUACAAACAUAAAGCCAGUUAUUCAAGCAUAUCAAGGAAAUGUAACUUUGAAAGUUAACUCAGCCUGGCAUGGUGCAGGCCUGUAAUCCCUGCACCCAGGAGGCUGAGGCAGGAGGAUCUUUGUGAGCUCCAGGGUAGGGCGGGCUACAUACUUAGCUACACAGUGAGUUCAAAGCCAGCCUAGAGUUCACGGUGAGACCCUCUCUCAAAAAAAAAAAAAAAAAGUUAACUUUCCUUCAGUUAUUCCCAUCCAAUCUCCAAAAGAUUCACAUUUACUAUCUAUAAGCACAUAUAUAAUUUUGACCUUUAUAAUUUUAAUCUUCUUGUGAAGAUCAUAGUAGCUUCCUCUCUCCCUUACACAUACACACCUACAUUACCCUAGACUGUAUUUCAAAAGCAUCCUGUCUGAAUUGUCAACGAAGAGGGCCAGGUUUCAAACACUUUCUCCUAAUUCUACGAUUCCCAGGUUUUCAGGUCAGGCCGUGGUACUCAUCUGCCUAGUUUUCGGUACGGUAUCCAGAGUCCUAGGUCACGGAGGGGAGUAGAAGGCAAGAGCGGACCACGGAGGACUCGGACAAACCGGGCUCCGCCACAGGUGCCAGAGGGCAACAGGAGGGGCGGUGUGGGGGCGGCCUGCCUGCCCUACACCUGCCCUCCGCGCCCUCCCAGCGUGCUCUGUGGGCCUAAAGCUGUGCUGUGGCUGUCACAGUCGGGAGAGUCCCUCACAGGGGGACCCGGUUCCCAGACUGCAGCGUGGGUUGGAACCUAAAGCUGUGCUGUGGCUGUCACAGUCGGGAGAGUCCCUCACAGGGGGACCCGGUUCCCAGACUGCAGCGUGGGUUGGACCAGGAAUUCACAGGACCCCGCGCGCUGAGAGACCGGAACUGCGAGAAGUGGAGGCGGAAGCGGAAGCCCCUGCAUCCGGGUCAGGGUCAGGGCCGCGUCCUCCCGUCCUCCCUCCCCCUGACCCGAGCCUGCCCCCACGGGCUGGGCCUCAGCGGCUCCCAGCCCCACCCGCACCCUCACUCCAGGCCCCGGGCGCCCCCGGCAGACACUGGAGGUGCUGCAGGACCCUGUUGUGAGUCGAGAGAAAACCCCCUGAGGCUGCCGCUGCUUCUACAAGGCAGAAGGGCGCAGACCGCAGACCGAGCGGGCAGCAGCCAGGCCCAGGCCCGGGCCCAGGCCCAGGAGUAACAGAACCACGGCAUUUUCCGCAAAGCCGGCCCGCAGGCUCCCGGCCCAUGAGCAGAGGAAACCACGCAGCGCCCGCGGGAAGAUGGCCUUCGGGGACAUCCACGGCCGCGGCAGACCAGCUCUCUCUGCCGCAGUGGGGGCUUCGCCGCUGAGCUGUGCCCUCCGCCCUGUUGUGAAUGUGGGUGAAAUCGGGAGGACACAGUUCAUGCUGCUGGGCUUCAUGGUGACUGAGAAGGGCGGGACGAGAAAGAAAACGGAGAAAGCAAGAAUGCCCCUAAGAGCCAGGCAUGGUGGCACACACCUGUGAUCCCUGCACUCCCAGACACGACUGGUACAGGAGGGUGGCAGUUCAAGCCCAGUCUGGCGGGGCAGCUUGGUGAUUCAGCAAGACAUCGUCUCAUAUAUAUAUAUAUGACCUGCAAUCCCAGUGCUGUGGGAGGCUGAGACAGGCGGGGACUUGAACUUGCAGUGUAAAUGGACUCCAAAUUUUAAAAAACAGAAGGGCUGGGCUGGGUGUGGUGGCACACACCUGUAAUCCCAGCACUCAGGAGGCUGAGGCAGGAGGAUCACUGUGAGUUGGAGACCAGCGUGGGCUACGUAGUGAGCUCCAAGUCAAUCUCAACUACACAGUGAGACCCUGUCUCAAAAAAAUAAAAACAAAAUAGAAGGGCUGGGAUGUAGUUCAGUGCAAAUGCCUGGGUUCAAUACCAUGUAUUGAAAAGAAAAGCUUUGCUAUUUAAGAAUCAUCUAAUUUAUCCAGUAAGCGUACAUACAACAUGCUAGCAGUGAGGAAUGGGGGCCGGGGAUUUAGCUCAGUGGUUCUGUCGCUUGCGUCCCAAGUGCAAGGUCCUAAAUUCAAUCCCCGGUACCAAAAGAAACCCCAAAAAACAAACAAACAAAAACACAGUAUAAUAAAGCUAGGUUAACAAGGGGCCUAAACAAGAAAUGAUACAGAAUCUCAACUAUUACUUUAAAAAUAUUUUUAAAAUUUGAAAGAUUAAUAUAAGGAACACUAAUUAGAUUUCAGCAAUUAUUAAAUGUUACAGAUACUGCCUUGCCUUUACCACUAUAAUCCACAUGAGUUCUUCACAGCCCUGGAAGGUCCCAGUGCUGAGACUUCAAUUUUAUUGAUUCCUUUAUCAGAAGUCCUGUUCGGCUUCUGUUUUGUGAAAUCAUUUGUCAUACUAUUCUCUGACACAAUAGCUGCUGGCCUGGUUUCCAAGAUACUGCAGACUUGAGGGUGCUACUUGCUGUUAGAACUUGGAUCCAGACUGUAUUAGCUUUCUUGCCUCUAGAUACAGUGACUGACACCCAUAAUUUAACGGAGGAAAGGUUUAACUUGGCUCACAGUUUCAAGGGAUUCAGUCUAUGGUCCACUGGCUUCAGGCCUGGAACAUUAUGGCAGCAGGAUGUGGCAAAGCAAAGAUGAUUACUUCCUUGUGGCAGGGAAGCAGAACGGGGAAACAGUGCCAGACAUAGACUCCCAAGGCCACCCUCCGUGACCCACCCAGACACACCCGGAAGUGUGUCCCACAGUCCCCCAGCAGGACCCAAAGCCAGUCAAGAGGACACUGUACUAAUCACCACCGUGGGCCCUGUAUGGUGUAUGAAAACCACAAGAACUCAGCACUAACUGGAUUGGUCGUUAGCUUUUCUCAGACCUGUUGCCAUGGAAGGUGCCCACUGUUCCAUGGAAUUGACUUUUAAGUGAAGGAGGGACUAGGGCUCCUUGGAGGAAGAAGGUAAUAUACUAAUUUUAGAGCAGGAUGAGGGAAGAGGGAGGGAAGCAUAUGAUGCCCUUGCACAAUCGAGAUUUACAUAAGGAGCUUUAAGUUGCAGUGGGGCAUAGACAUAACCUAAAGACCAGGAAAGGAAAGGGGAGGGAAGAUGCGGGUGCCAAACAUAGAGAAGGCACUGGACAACAUUGCUGUUACAAUAACUACCUCUAAAUUAAAAACAAAUUACCCUCAGGCCAUGGAUUUAGCUCAGUGGCACCACCCCUGCCUCUCAAAUUCCGGGUCCUGAGUUCCUCCCCAUACCAAAAACAAACAAAAAUUACCACCAGGCUAACAGAACAGCUUUAACAAAAGCAUUCAAAAUGUGUGGUUCUUCUCUCUUUGUAUGUAAAAGAAAAUGAGUGUUUGUCUGUAAGCUUGGACCCACAAGACCUCCAAACAGCAGAUAAUACUUCAGAGAGUGAACUGGUUCUAUUGGAGAGGAAUAAUUAAUAGCUUGGGACCCUUCUGGAGAGAUUCUUGUAUCUCAUGGUAGAAAUUUCUAAAGAAACCCAAGAGGCCAGAAAAGCUGUCACUUCGCUUCCUCCCCACCUUCUGUCCCACCUGCCCGAUCUCCACACACAGGGUCCACCACAUUCAGAAGCUGAGAGACUGCACAGCAGGGUUCCUUGCUGUCCUCAACCAUCUGUCUCCCAAAGACUGCAAAACACGUCUUUUCUUGAAAACAUUCUUUACAUUUGGCCUGAUGGUUUUUGUUAAAUACAAGCCAUCAAAAGCUAUUCCUGCCCUCCACAUUAUUUCUACUGAAUGAAGCAUAAAAGUAAAUUUAAAUGUUUCAAUAAUUGUACAUGCAGAGUUCUGAAUUAGAACUACAUUCAUCGGUUUUGUAAGAGCUUUUCACAGUGUUUAGCCUGCUUCUACUGCUAAAUCUUACGGGUUUUUUCCUUCUUAAUGCAAUAAUUUAACUUUCUAUUGAACCUAAACCUCAGACUCAGGAAACAUUUCUUCACAUAGUUAUGGUUAAUUGUUCAGCAUGCUGGAAUGUCUUGCAUCUGACCGGACAUGCCCAGUUCUCCUAACAUUUUCUCAUAGGUCUAAUUUCACAAGCCUUUAAUCAGUUGUUCUCUUCUGAACACUCUCCAAGCUUUUUUUUUCUCUCAUACAGGAUGGCACAUAAAAUGAAAUACGGUUGGUUCCAACUGAAGCCUGCUCAUUGCCAAAUAAAGCAAAAAUAAUUGCUUUUCUCCUUUUUCAUACAUAUACCUUAAUACAACCCUGCAAAGUAUCAUCUCUUAUUUCAACAUACAGGAGACUCACCCAAAGUGAGUGUUAACACUAGCAUGACUGUUGGAACUCACUUUGUUUCACGCAUGGCUCUCAUAGCCAGUAUCUUCACAUAUUUGUUGCACCACAGUAGCAAAUUAAACUUAAAUGCUAAACUCAUGAAAUAAGUAUUUCAUCCACGUACUUGGUAUGCAUGUGAAUUGAAUGCUUAGGGUCUUGAGAACAUAUACACACAGUGGUACCUUGGUUCAUGAAUGCUUUUGUUUGCAAACAAUUUGGUUCAUAAAAGCACUUGAUAAAUUUUUUGUUUGCAAGCUCUGUAUCAGGUGACAAAUAUGACUGCAACUGUAUUUCCCACACAAAGACAAACGUGGCCAUCCUUUCCAAAAUCCUGGAAUGAAUUCAGUUUGUGA